AACGAACGCUGGCGGCAGGCCUAACACAUGCAAGUCGAGCGCGCCCUUCGGGGUGAGCGGCGGACGGGUGAGUAACGCGUGGGAACGUGCCCUUUUCUACGGAAUAGCCUCGGGAAACUGAGAGUAAUACCGUAUACGCCCUUUGGGGGAAAGAUUUAUCGGAAAAGGAUCGGCCCGCGUUGGAUUAGGUAGUUGGUGGGGUAAUGGCCUACCAAGCCGACGAUCCAUAGCUGGUUUGAGAGGAUGAUCAGCCACACUGGGACUGGGACACGGCCCAGACUCCUACGGGAGGCAGCAGUGGGGAAUCUUAGACAAUGGGGGCAACCCUGAUCUAGCCAUGCCGCGUGAGUGAUGAAGGCCUUAGGGUUGUAAAGCUCUUUCAGCUGGGAAGAUAAUGACGGUACCAGCAGAAGAAGCCCCGGCUAACUCCGUG
rnacentral:rRNA from 1 species